UACGUAGGGGGCAAGCGUUGUCCGGAAUUAUUGGGCGUAAAGAGCGCGUAGGCGGUCCGGUAAGUCGGCUGUGAAAGUCAAGGGCUCAACCCUUGAAAGCCGGCCGAUACUGUCGGACUAGAGUCCGGAAGAGGCGAGUGGAAUUCCCGGUGUAGCGGUGAAAUGCGCAGAUAUCGGGAGGAACACCAAUGGCGAAGGCAGCUUGCUGGGACGGUACUGACGCUAAGGCGCGAAAGCGUGGGGAGCGAACAGG
rnacentral:rRNA from 1 species